UCUGUGCCUGUUUACCUAUUCAUGUGUCAUCAUUUGACACAUUAAUGAUGACCAUUUUUGAAGCAACUGUGAAUGAGAUGUCUUCACUCUUCAACCCUGCAGUCAUGCCUAAAAUGGUAAUUCUCAACUGUAUCCAAGAGCUUCAGGUCCUCAUGACACCUAAAUCAAUUUUCUGUUGCACUACAAUUCCAUUUAAGAUCUAGAUUGUGGUUGAGAGAACAGCCCUCUGUGUGAUGGACCCUAAAUACUGAUUGGUGAUAUGGGAAAUGGAAAAAGAAGAAUGGAAGUUAUGCAUAUAUUUAUACGUAACAAAUGAAAUAUAAACAGUUUU